rnacentral:rRNA from 1 species
GACAGCAGUCGCCGCGGUAAUACGAAGGGUGCAAGCGUUACCCGGAAUUACUGGGCGUAAAGCGUGCGUAGGUGGUGGUUUAAGUCCGUUGUGAAAGCCCUGGGCUCAACCUGGGAAUUGCAGUGGAUACUGGAUCACUAGAGUGUGGUAGAGGAUAGUGGAAUUUCCGGUGUAGCAGUGAAAUGCGUAGAGAUCGGAAGGAACAUCUGUGGCGAAGGCGACUAUCUGGGCCAACACUGACACUGAGGCACGAAAGCGUGGGGAGCAAACAGGAUUAGAUACCCGGGUAGUCCCUGUCUCUUAUAC